AUUAAUAGUAGGGAAGGAAGAGAUCUGUCACAUCACAUUAAAGAGCACCAAAACCCCAUUUAUUGUUUGAAUUUGUGAUAAUGUACAGAGACUCUUUUAUAUCAAAUGUUUAUUGCUGUUAUUGAAUAUCAGGAGCGCUAUGAGUAAUGUUUAGUGCUGUUUUGUUCAAGAUCUUUUACUCUGUUGAUGCAUGAUUUAACAAGUGAUACCAGUUCAUGAAAAUUAAUAUGGGACUAAAACUGAUAGUAAAAAGCAAAAGUCAACACACACAAUAAUGGUGCUGGAUGUAUCUUGUAGGCUCUGUGUGUGAUCCAGCCCCAGUGCAUCGUGGGCGAGUGAAGCCGCCAGUGUCUCGUCCACCCGCCCGUUUGGCCUUCUUACGGCAGAUGGAGCAGCAUGAACUCAGUGCUAUACAGGAAGUGGAUUCGCCAGUCAACAUCAGCCUGGACGCAGAGCUGCAGUCUGUUGAUGUGAGCGGGUCCAGCAGCACGUCUCUGCCCGCCAUCUCCUCUGAAGACGCUCACAGCGUGGCUCACAGGUCACAGGUCACGGGCAGAAGCAGCCGCAUGUCCUGGAGAGAGACACUCCUGUGUGACUCCACAGCCUCAGCGAUGCUUUGGUGCUGUUGGUCCAGACUACCUCUCAUCCACUACGAUCUCGACAGGAAGCUACUCCACUAGUGACCAUGAGCCCAGUUACGCCAUUUCAGAUGCGUCUCAUCUCUGCAUCGAGCCUGACGUGUGUGGCCGGUCAC
rnacentral:lncRNA from 1 species